GACGAACGCUGGCGGCGUGCUUAACACAUGCAAGUCGAACGAAGAGCGAUGGAAGCUUGCUUCUAUCAAUCUUAGUGGCGAACGGGUGAGUAACGCGUAAUCAACCUGCCCUUCAGAGGGGGACAACAGUUGGAAACGACUGCUAAUACCGCAUACGAUCUAAUCUCGGCAUCGAGGAUAGAUGAAAGGUGGCCUCUACAUGUAAGCUAUCACUGAAGGAGGGGAUUGCGUCGGAGUGGCUAGUUGGAGGGGUAACGGCCCACCAAGGCGAUGAUCAGUAGCCGGCCUGAGAGGAUGGACGGCCACAUUGGGACUGAGACACGGCCCAGACUCCUACGGGAGGCAGCAGUGGGGAAUCUUCCGCAAUGGACGAAAGUCUGACGGAGCAACGCCGCGUGAGUGAUGACGGCCUUCGGGUUGUAAAGCUCUGUUAAUCGGGACGAAAGGCCUUCUUGCGAAUAGGGAGAAGGAUUGACGGUACCGGAAUAGAAAGCCACGGCUAACUACGUG
rnacentral:rRNA from 1 species